rnacentral:rRNA from 1 species
AGCAGUGGGGAAUAUUGGACAAUGGGCGAAAGCCUGAUCCAGCCAUGCCGCGUGUGUGAAGAAGGUCUUCGGAUUGUAAAGCACUUUAAGUUGGGAGGAAGGGCAGUAAGCGAAUACCUUGCUGUUUUGACGUUACCGACAGAAUAAGCACCGGCUAACUCUGUGCCAGCAGCCGCGGUAAUACAGAGGGUGCAAGCGUUAAUCGGAAUUACUGGGCGUAAAGCGCGCGUAGGUGGUUUGUUAAGUUGAAUGUGAAAUCCCCGGGCUCAACCUGGGAACUGCAUCCAAAACUGGCAAGCUAGAGUAGGGCAGAGGGUGGUGGAAUUUCCUGUGUAGCGGUGAAAUGCGUAGAUAUAGGAAGGAACACCAGUGGCGAAAGCGACCACCUGGGCUCAUACUGACACUGAG